rnacentral:rRNA from 1 species
UCUCAGUUCGGACUGGAGUCUGCAACCCGACUCCACGAAGCUGGAUUCGCUAGUAAUCGCGCAUCAGCCACGGCGCGGUGAAUACGUUCCCGGGCCUUGUACACACCGCCCGUCAAGCCAUGGGAGCCGGGGGUACCUGAAGUGCGUAACCGCGAGGAGCGCCCUAGGGUAAAAUUGGUGACUGGGGCUAAGUCGUAACAAGGUAAC